CCAUUACCACCAGCUUCUAAACCACCAAAGGUAUCCCCAGCACCUGCAAAGGUUCCAAAAGCACCAGCACCGGCCAAAGAAGCACCAGCACCAGCACCUACACACAAAAAGAAAGCACCAGCACCCGCACCAGACAAAGAAACACCGGCACCAGCACCUACACACAAAAAGAAGAAAGCACCAAAAUCAUCACCUGUUCCUUCCCCAGCAAUUCUCCCACCAUCACCUGCACCAACACCUGCAAUAGACACACCAUCAUCAGCACCAGCACCAUCGCCUGAAGAUGAUGCGCCAGAACCACCGCCACCCCACAAGCACAAGAGAAGAAAACACAAGCAUAGUAAGCAUAAGAAACAUCACGCACUAGCUCUAGCACCAGAGCCUACAAGUUCAAGUUCAACAAUCAUUAGGAGGAGUCCCCCAGCACCACUGGCUGAUGAUAAUACUACAAUGAGUUC
rnacentral:lncRNA from 1 species